GCGAGAUGGAGCAGCUGCUGGCCUGGCCCAGGGUGGCCUGCUCCCCGAGAAUGCCCUCUUCACAUCCAUCCAGUCCUUACAGUCUGAGUCCGAGCCACUGAGCCUUAUUGCAAAUGUGGUAGCAGGCUCAUCCUGCCGAGGACCCUCACUGUCCAGAGACCUGCAGGGCUCCAGGCACAGGGCUGAUGUUGCUUCUGCCCUUCGAUCCUUCUCCCCUCUGCAGCCUGGAGCGGCCCCUCAAGGCCGGGUUCCCAGUACCAUGACAGGCUCUGGAGUGGAUGCCAGGACAGCCAGCUCUGGGAGUAGCGUGUGGGAAGGACAGCUGCAGAGCCUGGUGCUGUCCGAAUACGCGUCCACCGAGAUGAGCCUGCACGCCCUGUACAUGCACCAGCUCCACAAGCAGCAGACCCAGGCUGAGCCCGAGCGGCAUGUGUGGCACCGCCGGGAGAGUGAUGAGAGUGGAGAGAGUGCCCCUGAAGAGGGGGGAGAGGGUGCCCGGGCCCCCCAACCCAUCCCCCGCUCGGCCAGCUAUCCCUGUGCUACACCCCGGCCUGGAGCACCUGAGACCACCGCCCUGCAUGGGGGCUUCCAGAGGCGCUACGGGGGCAUCACAGAUCCUGGCACAGUGCCCCGUGGCCCCUCUCACUUCUCCAGGCUGCCCCUGGGAGGAUGGGCAGAAGAUGGCCAGCCAGCAUCAAGGCACCCAGAGCCGGUGCCAGAGGAGGGCUCAGAGGAUGAACUCCCCCCUCAAGUGCACAAGGUAUAGGCAAGGCGGUAGCUGGUUCCCAUGCUCCAGGAUGGAGGUGGCAGCUGCCCUGCCAUCCCUUCUGUCUGCCAUGAGAGGGACUCUCUGAGUGUCGCCUGGCCCCACGUGUGGUGUUUUGUGUGUUCCUGCCUGGCCAAGGGAGGUGCCAAUGCUGGGCUUACCAUAGUCCAGGAAGAAUAUGAGGACUAGGGGCACACAAGAGUCUAGCUUCGUCUCCAGGACUCCCUUGGCUCAGAGUGUGGUGCUAGAAACUGGUCCCCAGCCCAGUCCCAGUACUGCCAUCUUUGCAUCCACCCCUGCAAGUCUCCAGAGGGCUUCCUGCCACAGAAGUGCUGCCAAGCAGAAGAACCUGUGCCAACUGUGGAGUGGGGAGGCAGGGCCUGAACCCUCAAUCCCUGCAGCCUAGCCUCCCCACCCUCCAGAACCUGGAAUAGCUGAGCAGCUCAGGCUGUGGCCCUUACCUCCAGUCCUCACCUCAACCUGCGCUGCAGCCUCCCUCCCCCCUGCACAUCACUGGCAUGUGUGCUGCUUGACCACCCCCCCUUCUGUUCACCUGCCCCCCUUCUGUUUGGCUUUGGCUUUUUGUUGGGGUGAGAGCCCUAGCUCCCAGCUCCCCUCACUAUCUUUUGACACUAAGAUGGAAGGUUACUAAGUUGCAGGAACAGGAUGAAAAUUCUUUAUUACCCUCUUCAACUUUUAGGACGAGCACUUGGGAGUGUGAGGCCUUCCUGGCUGCUUCUAUGUAGUCCUACCACCUGCACAGAGGGGCUGGCAGGGCAGAAGUGUGACCUCAGUUAUAUAUACAUCCCAGCUCUGCCCAGUAUCCCUCACUUACCAAGAGGAGAAUGGAGGGAUAAUGGACUCACCCUAGCCUAGGGCUUCGACAUUGCAUGCUGGGAUCCAGCUCCUACCCUUCCUGCACUCCCUUCCCCAGUUCUGCUCAGCUCAGCUGUGGGAGGUAAACUUAAGCUGAAGGUGGCGGACUCUACUGUCGCAGGCCACAGCAGACAGGGUGGGAGCCCUGUACAGCUUGAUAACCCUUAAUAAAGAAGGGACUUUGAUCUGGUUGUGGCAUCUUUUUUUUUCCCCCACGCAGCAGUUUGGGGGGGGGGGGGGGGGUCUUAGGACUGUAAAAGAGUCCUGGCCGGGAGGCUUGGGAAACAAGUACGCCUGCAGGACCACGGGAACAGAACUAGGACUCAGAGAAGAGCUGUUUCUAGUGUGCUUCAGUAGCUUGAUAAUGUGUGAAGCCCUGAGUUCGUUCUUUAGCACUAUAAUAGAGGGAACUGAAGCAGGUUAGAGACCAGGGAGGCCUCGGUGUAAUGCCUUUAUAAAGGGCGGGGGUGGAGGGUGGGGAGUGCAAAUUCGGACGCACUACUCUGUGGAGGUCAAAGUCUCCAGUCAGAUUCAGGUUAGAGUUCCCGCCUUGGACAUGUGACCCAGUCGGUUCUCAGCCCUAUUUGUGUUCCUUACCCUUGGCCAAUGGGAACCCUGGAUAGAUCUGGUGGGCGGGGCCGCUGCCGUAAAGGACCCAACAUUUUUGUGCGGCGGCUCCGAGCCUUAGGGUCCCAGCUGCUAGCGAGUGGGAACCGGCAAGCACGGCGUACGUGGCUUGCGUGAGUAUGCGUGGUAGCGGCGCGUGCGUGAAGAGAGUGGGCAGUGUAGCAGGUCCACGUGCGUCCCUUCCCGCGACCCAAGCGGCGUAGCUCCAUGUCCCAGGACACCCUGGCAUCUGCGGCCCUCUCUGAAGGGUCAGCCCGACUCUUUGUGCAGUGACCUCAAGUUCAGCCAGCAGCCACACAUCGCCAUGGUGACUGUGGGCAACUACUGCGAGACCGAAGGGCCGGCGGGGCCCGCUUGGACUCAGAAUGGCUUGAGUCCCUGCUUCUUCUUCACGCUAGUGCCCUCGACACUCCUGACUCUGGGGGUACUGGCCUUGGUGCUGGUUCUUCCCCGCAGGCGUCGGGAGGUGCCUGCUGGCCCAGAAGAGCUGUCUUGGGCGGCUGGCCCUCGGGUGGCCCCAUAUGUGCUGCAGCUGUUUCUGGCCACACUUCAGAUGGCACUGCCCCUGGCUGGUCUGGCUGGCCGAGUGGGCACUGCUCGGGGGGUCCGUCUGCCAGGCUACCUACUGCUGGCUUCUGUGCUGGAGAGUCUGGCCAGCGUCUGUGGCUUGUGGCUGCUCGUGGUGGAACGGAGCCAGGCACGGCAGAGUCUGGCAAUGGGCGUCUGGAUGAAGUUCAGGCAUAGCUUGGGUCUCCUGCUCCUCUGGACUGUGACAUUUGCAGCCGAGAACUUGGCCCUAGUAUCUUGGAACAGCCCGCAGUGGUGGUGGGCCAGAGCAGAUCUGGGCCAGCAGGUUCAAUUUGGCCUGUGGGUCCUGCGUUAUGUGACCUCUGGAGGGCUAUUUAUCUUGGGGCUCUGGGCCCCAGGACUUCGCCCCCAGUCUUAUACUCUACACGUUCAUGAAGAAGACCAAGAUGUAGGAGGGAACCAGGGCCGCUCAACAGACCGACGAUCCACCUGGAGAGACCUUGGCCGGAAGCUUCGACUGCUGAGUAGCUACUUGUGGCCUCGGGGAAGUCCAUCACUACAGCUGAUAGUGCUCAUAUGCCUGGGACUCAUGGGGUUGGAACGAGCACUCAAUGUGUUGGUCCCCAUCUUCUAUAGGGACAUUGGUGAGGGGGUGGAAGGGUAUGCUUGGCUUAGUGGCUGGGUUGGCCCUUACCUAGGGAGGUUACACAAAAAUGGGAGGUAGGUGGUCAGAGCCUGGAGCAGUUUUGUCUUAGAGUCCUGGUUGUUGAUGGUGGACCCUGAUACCUUUAAUCCACAGUGAACUUACUGACUGCGAAGGCUCCUUGGAGCUCCCUGGCCUGGACCGUUACCACCUAUGUCUUCCUCAAGUUCCUCCAGGGGGGUGGCACUGGCAGUACAGGUUUUGUGAGCAACCUGCGAACCUUCCUAUGGAUCCGGGUGCAGCAGUUUACGUCCCGAGGUGUGGAGCUACGUCUCUUCUCUCACCUGCAUGAACUCUCACUGCGCUGGCACCUGGGCCGGCGUACCGGGGAGGUGCUUCGGAUCGUGGACCGGGGAACAUCUAGUGUCACAGGACUACUCAGCUACCUGGUGUUCAGCAUCAUCCCCACCCUGGCUGACAUCAUCAUUGGCAUCAUCUACUUCAGCAUGUUCUUCAAUGCCUGGUUUGGCCUCAUCGUGUUCCUGUGCAUGAGUCUUUACCUCAUCCUGACUAUCGUGGUCACCGAGUGGAGAGCCAAGUUUCGCCGUGAUAUGAACACACAGGAAAACGCCACCCGGGCACGAGCAGUAGACUCUCUGCUCAACUUUGAAACGGUGAAAUACUAUGGUGCCGAGGGUUAUGAAGUAGACCGCUAUCGAGAGGCCAUCCUCAAGUUUCAGGGUUUGGAGUGGAAGUCAACCGCCUCACUGGUUGUGCUGAAUCAGACACAGAACCUGGUGAUCGGGCUUGGCCUCCUUGCUGGCUCCUUGCUUUGCGCAUACUUCGUCAGUGAGCAGAAGCUACAGGUUGGGGACUUUGUGCUUUUUGGCACUUACAUCACCCAACUGUACAUGCCUCUCAACUGGUUUGGCACCUACUACAGGAUGAUCCAGACUAACUUCAUUGACAUGGAGAACAUGUUUGACUUGCUGAAAGAGGAGACAGAAGUGAAGGAUGUUCCUGGUGCAGGGCCCCUUCGUUUUCAUAAGGGCCGGAUUGAGUUUGAAAAUGUGCACUUCAGCUACGCUGAUGGGCAGGAGACCUUACAAGAUGUGUCCUUCACUGUGAUGCCUGGACAGACGGUGGCUCUGGUAGGUCCAUCUGGGGCAGGAAAGAGCACAAUUUUGCGCCUGCUAUUUCGCUUCUAUGACAUCAGCUCUGGCUGCAUCCGAAUAGAUGGACAGGAUAUUUCACAGGGUAUGAGACACAGGUCGGGGAGCGGGGUCUGAAGCUGAGUGGUGGCGAGAAGCAGCGAGUGGCCAUCGCCCGCACCAUCCUUAAGGCUCCUGACAUCAUUCUGCUGGAUGAGGCCACAUCAGCACUGGAUACAUCUAAUGAGAGAGCCAUCCAGGCCUCUCUGGCCAAAGUCUGCACCAACCGCACCACCAUCGUCAUAGCACACAGGCUCUCAACUGUGGUCAAUGCUGACCAGAUUCUGGUCAUCAAGGACGGUUGCAUCAUAGAGAGAGGAAGGCACGAAGCCCUGCUGUCCCGAGGUGGCGUUUAUGCCGAGAUGUGGCAGCUGCAGCAGCAAGGACAAGAAACUGUCCCUGAAGAAUCUAAACCUCAGGACACGGCAUAGUAAUAAAAGGGACCUCUUUCCUUCCAAAGGCGAACUCAGGAGAAAAAGAUAUGUCCCCUCUCUUGCCUUCAUUUCAUCCUGGUGUAGGAGUUUGGUGCUAGCUAUUGUAAGGAAAAGGGACCUUCCAGAAAGCAUCGUGAGGAAAUAAA
rnacentral:lncRNA from 1 species